rnacentral:rRNA from 1 species
AGUGAACGCUGGCGGUAGGCCUAACACAUGCAAGUCGAACGGCAGCACAGUAAGAGCUUGCUCUUACGGGUGGCGAGUGGCGGACGGGUGAGGUAUACAUCGGAAUCUACUUUUUCGUGGGUGAUAACGUAGGGAAACUUCCGCUAAUACCGCAUACGACCUACGUGUGAAAGCAGGGGAUCUUCGGACCUUGCGCGAUUGUAUGAGCCUAUGUCGGAUUAGCUAGUUGGCGGGGUAAAGGCCCACCAAGGCGACGAUCCGUAGCUGGUCUGAGAGGGUGAUUACCCAGACUGGAACAGAGACAGGUCCCAGACUCUUACGGGAGGCAGCAGUGGGGAAUAUUAGACGAGGGGGGAGAGCCGGAUCCAGCAAUACCGGGUGGGGGAAGAAGGACUUAGGGUUCGAAAGCGCUUUUGUUGGGAGAGAAAAGCAGCAGGUUAAUACGCCGCUGUUCUGACGGUACCCAAAGAAUAAGCACCGGCUAACUUCGUG